rnacentral:rRNA from 1 species
UACAGAGGGUGCGAGCGUUAAUCGGAAUUACUGGGCGUAAAGCGUGCGUAGACGGUUAUGUAAGUCGGGUGUGAAAGCCCCGGGCUCAACCUGGGAAUUGCAUUCGAGACUGCAUAGCUAGGGUGCGGAAGAGGGAAGCGGAAUUUCCGGUGUAGCGGUGAAAUGCGUAGUUAUCGGAAGGAACAUCAGUGGCGAAAGCGGCUUCCUGGUCCAGCACCGACGUUCAGGCACGAAAGCGUGGGGAGCAAACAGG